rnacentral:rRNA from 1 species
GGGAAACCCACCUGAAAACGAGUAUUCCCUUGAGAACCGUGGAAGACGACCACGUUGAUAGGCCGGGUGUGGAAGUGCGGCAACGCAUGAAGCUUACCGGUACUAAUCGUUCGAUUGGCUUGAUCGUUCUUGUU